UACGUAGGGUGCAAGCGUUGUCCGGAAUUAUUGGGCGUAAAGAGCGUGUAGGCGGCCCGAUUAGUCCGCUGUGAAAGUCCAGGGCUCAACCCUGGAAUGCCGGUGGAUACUGUCGGGCUAGAGUCCGGAAGGGGCGAGUGGAAUUCCUGGUGUAGCGGUGAAAUGCGCAGAUAUCAGGAGGAACACCAAUGGCGAAGGCAGCUCGCUGGGACGUGACUGACGCUGAGACGCGAAAGCGUGGGGAGCAAGCAGG
rnacentral:rRNA from 1 species